UAGGGUUUAUGAUAAGAACGGUUACCUGUAAUACAAGAAAAAUAGGACUAAGGAACUUAUCAUAAUUGAUCACGUGCUCCACAUCACCAACCGAUACAAGCCGUCAACGACGUUGCAUCGAUGGCUCUCCGACAACAUGGAUCAACUAGGAUCCCGGCGGUACAGAUCUACGACCGGUGGUGGUGGGGAACAUGCGGCUCCGCCUCGAACGCC
rnacentral:lncRNA from 1 species